rnacentral:rRNA from 1 species
UUUGGUUUGGGUAGUGGUCCUACGAUGACUGUGAACUGUCAUGUCUUCGGAUGUGCGACUAUCGGUCUAGGAUCGCAUCUCAGCCCCUGGGACUCUUUUGAACGCAACGGACGUGAUUGCAACCCCUUGUUGAGAUUAGAGGAGUCUCGAUAUUCAUUGGCCAAACUUACCGCUUCGAGCUUGCUCGUGCAGUUUUGUUAGCCGGUGGAUAAACUCGGGGGACUGCUGACUAUAACCAUUUCUCAAAACAGAGGAAGGAUGCGGCAA